rnacentral:tRNA from 1 species
GGGCCUGUAGCUCAGCCAGGUUGAGCGAUCGGCUCUUAACCGAUAGGUCUGGGGUUCGAAUCCCCACAGGCCCG